GGGUCUGUAGUUCAACUGGCAGAGCGUCGGUCUCCAAAACCGAAGGUUUCAGGUUCGACUCCUGACAGACCCGCCA
rnacentral:tRNA from 1 species